rnacentral:rRNA from 1 species
GAACGCUGGCGGCGUGCCUAAUACAUGCAAGUCGAACGGUCUUUCUAUGGAAGCUUAGCUUCCACUGAGAAGAUAGUGGCGAACGGGUGAGUAACACGUGGGUAACCUGCCCAUAAGAGGGGGAUAACGAUCCGGAAACGGGUGCUAAUACCGCAUAGUUUUCUUGAUCGCAUGAUUGAGAAAGGAAAGACGGCCUUUGUGCUGUCGCUUAUGGAUGGACCCGCGGCGUAUCAGUUAGUUGGUGAGGUAACGGCUCACCAAGACGAUGAUACGUAGCCGACCUGAGAGGGUGAUCGGCCACAUUGGGACUGAGACACGGCCCAAACUCCUACGGGAGGCAGCAGUAGGGAAUCUUCCGCAAUGGACGAAAGUCUGACGGAGCAACGCCGCGUGAGUGAAGAAAAGGUUUUCGGAUCGUAAAACUCUGUUGUCAGAGAAGAACAAGUUGGAGAGUAACUGCUCCAGCCUUGACGGUAUCUGACCAGAAAGCCACGGCUAACUACGUGCCAGCAGCCGC